UCAACAUUUAACAUCCAUUUUCCAUGCUGGUAUGAACUGAAUGGCUUGACAGAAACUGGCGAGGCGCAGGGGCUACAUCAGGUUCCAUAGUCUGUUUUGGCUUGGUUUCUAUGGCUGGAUGCCCUUCCUAAGGCCAACCACUUCACAGAUUAUGAUGAGUGCUUUUUAUGUGCCAUCAGCACAG